CGAUAGCGUAUAUUAAAGUUGUUGCAGUUAAAAAGCUCGUAGUUGGAUUUCUGGUUGAAGCGACCGGUCGGGCGUUGAUUCGUCUGCACUGGAGUCGGUUUUGGCCAUCCUCUAGGAAAGUGCGUCUGGUAUUAAGUUAUCGGGCGUAUGAUCCUGGUCUUUUACUGUGAAAAAAUUAGAGUGUUUAAAGCAGGCCUUCGCCUUGAAUACAUUAGCAUGGAAUAAUAAGAUAGGACUUUGGUCUAUUUUGUUGGUUUGCAGACCGAAGUAAUGAUUAAUAGGGAUAGUUGGGGGUAUUUAUAUUCCGAUGUCAGAGGUGAAAUUCUUAGAUUUUCGGAAGAUAAACUUAUGCGAAAGCAUUUACCAAGGAUGUUUUCAUUAA
rnacentral:rRNA from 1 species